AACGAACGCUGGCGGCAUGCCUAACACAUGCAAGUCGAACGAGACCUUCGUGUCUAGUUGCGCACGGGGGCGUAACGCGUGGGAACCUGCACUUAGGUUCGGAAUAACUCCCCUAAAGGGGUGCUAAUGCCGGAUAAUGUCUUCUGACCAAGGAUUUAACGCCUUUGUGUGGGCCCGCGUUGGUUUCGCUGGUUGGUAGGGUAAAAGCCUACCAAGGCGACGAUCCAUAGCGGGUAUGAGAGGAUGAUCCGCCACACUUGGGCGGGGACACGGCCCAGACUUCUACGGGAGGCAGCAGUGGGGAAUAUUGGAAAAUGGGGGGAAGCCUGAUCCAGCAAUGCCGGGUGAGUGAUGAAGGGCUUAGGGUUGUAAAGCUCUUUUAACCCGGGUGAUAAUGACAGUACCGGGAGAAUAAGCUCCGGCUAACUCCGUG
rnacentral:rRNA from 1 species